AAUGGAUUUAGUGAACUAAUCAGCACAAAAACCUUUGUUGAAAAGCAUUUAAAAGUAGCCAAGGUAGCAGCUCCAAGGAAGAUGGUCAAAUUAAUCUUCAACCAAGUCUGAGGCUUUUCCAUGGAAAUAAUAAGGCAAGUUUAAUUAAGCCAAAUAAAUGCUAUACAUUUCUGUAAUUAAUUUGAUUUUGUAUUAGUAUAACACCAUUGCUAGUUUAUAAUUUAAGAUACCAGGUACAUGAAGAUUUUUAUAUAGAUACAAAAUUAAAUACAGAGUACAACUUGAAGACUAGUACGUACCAUGAAUAAGAUUUUUUUCAUUCAAUGGGAGAUAACUCAUUGUAAUAUAUGCAGAUUUAAUAUUUGUCUUUUUGAACAUUGAAAUAUGUUUAAACUUAUAAGACUAAUUUUUAUGUUUUUUCCAAUUUUAAUAUUAAAUUCACAAACUGUUAUUUUACUAUUAUGUACUUCUGAUGUUUAAGAAUUUAGAACAAUAUUUUGUAAAUGUUGGAGAAAUUGAAUUGUAAAAUAUAUAAAUUAUCAAUUUUAAUAUUUUAGGUUCUUUUUGUGAGAUGUUUUCGUGGUGUGGGAAUAAGACUUGGUGGUCUAAUACAGCUAAUAUGAAGGUUGGUACCAGUAUACCUAUUUGAAAAAAAAUUAAAUGUAUUAGAAAUAUUAGAAAUAUGUGCUCUAGGCUUGAAAGUUUAAAUGAGUGUGGUGAUUAGUCAAUACUCGACUCUUUCAUUUAUUGGUACAAAUAUGUGUAAAUCUAAGGAACUAACUUAAUUAUUGUGUUUUUAUGGUUUUGUUGAAUUGCUGUAUAGUGAAUGUUCUCAACAUCUAUUACACAUAUACACUUUUUAACCGGAUUUUUGUGACAAAAAUGUCGGUUAUUGAUUUGGGGAUGUACGGCGGGCGGGCAGGUGGCAAUCAAAUGUUGUCCGUGCAUUAACUCAUGAACCGUUCAACCAAAGCUUUUAAAAUUUUUAUAUGUUAUUACUGACAACUAUACAAAGGUCAAGUUCAAUAAUUGCGAUUUUGACUUUUACCGUUCAGGAGUUAUGGUUCUUGAAAGAUUGAAAAAUGGAGUUUCCAGUCGUGUCCGUGCAUUUACGCAUGAACUGUUCUACCAAAGCUUCCCAAAUUUUAAUAUGUUGUUACUAAUGACAGAAUGGAGGUCAAGUUCAAUAAUGACGAAUUUGACUUUUACCGUUCAGGAGUUAUGGUUCUUGAAAGAUUGAAAAAUGGAGUUUCCAGUCGUGUCCGUGCAAUAAUGCAUGAACUGUUCUACCAAAGCUUCCGAAAUUUUAAUAUGCUGUUACUGAUGACAAAAUGGAGGUCAAGUUCAAUAAUGACAAUUUAGACUUCUACUGUUCAGGAGUUCUGGUUCUUGAAAGAUUGAAAAAUGGUGUUUCCCGUCGUGUCCGUGCAUUUUCUCAUGAACCAUUCAACCAAAGCUUUUGAAAUUUUAAUAUGUUGUUACUGAUGACAAAAUAGAGGUCAAGUUCAAUAAUGACGAUUUUGACUUUUACGGUUCAGGAGUUAUGGUUCUUGAAAGAUCGUAAAAUGGCGUUUCCAUUCACGUUGUUGCAUUUACUCAUGAACCAUUCAAUCUAAGCUUUUCAAAUUUUAAUAUGUUGAUACUGAUGACAAAAUGGAGGUCAAAUUUGAUAUUGACGAUUUUCACUUUCACCAUUCAUCAGUAAUGGUUCUUGUGAUAUUGCCAGGACACAAAUAAAUGUUAAUAAAUCUGGUUUGCUGUCGUUGUGACAGCCUCUUGUUCUAUAUGAUGUACAUACAUAGAUAUAAGAAGUCAGAAUUUGUAAAAGUAAACCAUUAAAAGUCAAAGUACGGUCUUCAACACUAGCCUUGGCUGACACGAAACAGCAAGCUAUAAAGGGCCCAACAAAUGUCCAGUGUAAAACCAUCUAAAUGGUUAAACAAACAGUCUAAUAUAUAUAUAUAUAUAGCAGGGGAUUGAAACAUUUUAAUAGGUACCAACCUUCACCAGUUUACCAGCCGAGAUCCUUUUAAACAAGUUUGAAUGACUAAGCAUUUUAUAUUUCAGGUUAGCACCACAGCUUGUCUGUAAGGAUUGAGGCUGGGAAGGGCCAUUGGAGCUGACUUUUAUAGUAAGAACCAAUACAUAGAUUUAUUAACUAUUCAGCCAAGAGCAUGUAAAUACCAUAGAUUUUUAUUAUGCAGAGAUUUAGAUCGUUCAUUUUAAUUUUUCUUAAAUUAACUUUAUAUAAUCUCAAAAUGAGGUAUCAAGAUGAAUAAGGGAAAUCAAAAAUUAUACCUGUACUAAGAAAAUCUUCCCUCAGUCUGCACAUUCGUUUCUUUGUCUGUCUGAUUUCCAUCUGUCCCACUUUAGGUUAGUUUUUGGUCAAAUCAGUGCUUGAUGAUCAACUUGAAACUUGUGUGAUUGCUAAGGAGAUAACACACCCAGAGACCAAAUGCUGUGGAUGUAAGCAUAAAAGCUCACUGUAUGGCCUACAACGAUGAGCAAAAGCUAUACUGUACAGUUAAAAAAAAAAUCCCCAAUGUGAAAAAAAAAAGAUGAUUCAAACUAGAAAACCAGCAGCCUAAUUCAUGAUAAAACAAUGAAAAAAUAUGUUGGAUAUCAUCCAACUACUUGUUUGUCAUGUUUGCUAAUGAAGACUGGUAGUUUAAAAUUUAUGCAAACACAGGACAUAACAAGUUUAAGCUUUCUUAAAAGCUGUGGACUGCUCUGCUCUAUCCUAAUUUAAUGUAAUAUGUGUGCAUGUGGUAUUUUUGAUUGAUAUAAAAUGGAUUUACUUUAAGAGUAUGCUUUAUGAGUGUGCCUCUUGGGAGGUGUGCCAUUAUACAAAGCAAAAACAAAGUCAAAGCAAUGUUAUUUGCAUGAUAACUGUUUAGUCUAGUUGAUUAUUUCUUUGAAUUAGAUAUCGUUUUAACAAUGUAUAUUUCUUUUUCAGGUAACUUUAACUGAGGAUGCAUCAAAUUAUUGUGAGAUUUAACUGAAACUAUAAAGAAUGUAAUUCAGACAAUAAUUGUGUGUGUGAAAAAAUGUAAAUGAUUUGAGAGAAAAAAAAAGAUUUGUAAAGAUUCUCCUUUUUCAACAAGAUUGGGAGUUGCAGGAUAUUAGUUAUCCAGUUCAGAACCUGUUUAUUAUCCCCCCUCCCCAGCCCCCUUUUUAAACAAGGUUUGAUGGGUAAGUUGAAAGUGAUGGGAAAUGGACAAAUUUUACAAUUAAACUUGUAGUCUAGAUCUACAUUUUAUGCAAGAUAUCUUAUGGUCCAUGUGAAGUCAACAUUUCCAGUAGGUUUAGAAGGG
rnacentral:lncRNA from 1 species